rnacentral:rRNA from 1 species
ACACGAAGUCGGAAUCGCUAGUAAUCGCGGAUCAGCAUGCCGCGGUGAAUACGUUCCCGGGCCUUGUACACACCGCCGUCACACCAUGGGAGUUUGUAACGCCCAAAGUCGGUGGCCUAACCUUUAUGGAGGGAGCCGCCUAAGGCGGGACAGAUGACUGGGGUGAAGUCGUAACAAGGUACC